AGUGAACGCUGGCGGUAGGCCUAACACAUGCAAGUCGAACGGCAGCACAGUAAGAUCUUGCUCUUACGGGUGGCGAGUGGCGGACGGGUGAGGAAUACAUAGGAAUCUACUUUUUCGUGGGGGAUAACGUAAGGAAACUUACGAUACUAGCGCAUACGACCUACGGCUGAAAGCAGUAGAGCUUCGCACCUUUCCUGUUUGAAUUAGACGAUGUCGGAUUAGCUAGUUGGCGGGGUAAAGGCCCACCAAGGCGACGAUCCGUAGCUGGUCUGAGAGGAUGAUCAGCCACACUGGAACUGAGACACGGUCCAGACUCCUACGGGAGGCAGCAGUGGGGAAUAUUGGACAAUGGGCGCAAGCCUGAUCCAGCCAUACCGCGUGGGUGAAGAAGGCCUUCGGGUUGUAAAGCCCUUUUGUUGGGAAAGAAAAGCAGCAGGUUAAUACCCCGCUGUUCUGACGGUACCCAAAGAAUAAGCACCGGCUAACUUCGUG
rnacentral:rRNA from 1 species